AUUUACUGAGACCGAGGGAAACAGUGUGUUUUGUGGACCCGAAAAACAUCGAGGGUCCACAAAACACACUGCUUUCCCGAGGUCUCAGUAAAUAAGAGUUUAUU
rnacentral:miRNA from 1 species